UGAGGAAUAUUGGUCAAUGGUCGUGAGACUGAACCAGCCAAGUAGCGUGCGGGAUGAAGGCCCUCCGGGUCGUAACCGCUUUUAGACGGGGAUAAAAGGGCAUACGUGUAUGCCGUAUUGCAUGUACCGUCAGAAAAAGGACCGGCUAAUUCCGUGCC
rnacentral:rRNA from 1 species